UAAGAAAAAUUAAAAAAAAAAAUAAUGAAAGAAAAAAUGAAAAAUAAGUUGUGUCUUUUGUUAGUGUCUCUGAGUCCUUCCUGUCAGGAUAGACACAAGAUACACUAAUUCAGUGUCUCUGGACACAAUGUCUCUAUCUAGGUCUCAUCUAUCAAAUAUGAUUCUGUGUUCGUGUCUCAGUGUCCCGUCCCUGUAAACAAACGCAGCCUAAAAGUUGGACGUUGGGGCUUUCACUCUAAAGGGUAAAGGACCUUGUUCGUUUUUUCAAGAUUGAAAUUGAGAUGGACACUGGGCGUUUUUUCAAGAUCCUAAUAUGUGCCUUUAUUACUGCUGGUGUGUUAACGGCUGGCUUGAUCAGUUUUAGACGAGGUAACUCUCAUUUAGGGCAGAAGCUAAUGAGGGCUCGUGUGGUGGUCCAAGGCGCGACGGUGGCUCUUAUGGUUGGGACUGCCUAUUAUUAUGGAGAUAAUCCUUGGCAGAGUGACCACAAAAAGGAAAAAAUUUAAACAUUGGAAUUGCUUGGUUUCUUGUUGGCUUGGUUUUUGUUUUGUGAGAUGUGGAGUUUGGUCAUUUGGGGACCAAAAUCCUUCCCAAUUUCAUCUUACUCAAACUUCUUGCAACCCAUUACAGUUGAAUUAUCAUGAAUGUUCUUUGGUAUAUUAUAUUUCUUAACUAAUAAGACGGGCGAUUCUCAAUUGACUU